rnacentral:lncRNA from 1 species
AUAUUCAGGGCAAAAGUCACUGGAGGGCUGUGAGCCGGGGAGAGAUGUCAUCUGAUUGCAUUAAGAACAACAGCAGCGCAAGAUCACACCUGUUUGCCCUCAGAGCCCUACUCCGUGCCUCUUCAGCCCCCACUGUCCCCAGCCCUUGGGUCAGACAACCUUGAAUUUGACACUUUCACCCCAGGUUGUAUGACCUUGAAGAUGUCACUGCACCUCUCAGAGACUCAGUUUCCUCAUCUGCAAAUUGGGGCAGGAUCUGGCAGGAUUGCAGGUGGUUUCAACAGAACCCUGCAGCAUGGAACAGGCUGGCACACAGUAGGUACUCCAUGAAUAAUGCUGUCCCCCUGGUCCCUGCCUCCACUGCCUCCUCUUGGGCCAAACCCAAGUUUAUUCUGCUUCCUAUAGUUGCCUUCAACUACAAUCUGUCCCCGUGGGGUCCCUCAGGAUGCACAUCCAUGGCAGAGCUGGGCUUGCCCUUAAACCUUGGGCUAGGAGGCUGGAGGCAUCUGUCCUGGGACUCUGAGAUUUCACAGGCUGUGCUUGUAAGUGGGCACAGACCUGCCGUCUUGGAGUCCUGGAGCCCUGAUUGGAGCUAGGGCAGAGCCUGGCCAGGUACCCAGACCCCCUCCUGGGGCCCACUUGGUCCCUUCUGUCUGUGGAUGACUUUCAGCGAGUCACCACGUCCCUCACGGUUUGGUUGCUGUGAAGUGGAGCGGAGGGGUCAAGGUUGCUUGCGUGAGUGCAAAGCCAGCCAGCUGAGGCUGGUGUUCCUCAGGAGCAUCCAUCCAGCCGAGAGAGGAGACUUGGAAGUGUAUAUCCUGCGCCAUCUCCAAGGGAUGGAGCUCCAGUUGCACCCAGCGGUAGCUCUGUUGAUGACAUGGCCUUGGUUGGCUCUUCCCUGUCUCACUUCUCCACUUCCCUAUGGGUAUUUCCUAGGAUUUACUUGAGUCCAAAGCUUCUCAGUGUCUGAGAGUGUACUGGGAGAACCCAAGGAGACAGCGCCUCUGAGAAUCAUGGUGGGGAGAAC